UGGCUCAGUGGUAGAGUGCUUGCCUUGCAUGCAUGAGGCCCUGAGUUCGAGCCCUCAG
rnacentral:tRNA from 1 species